rnacentral:tRNA from 1 species
CCCCUGGUGGUCCAGUGGCUAAGACUCUGAGCUCCCAAUGCAGGGGCUCUGGGUUCAAUCCCUGGUCAGGGAA